AGAGUUUGAUCCUGGCUCAGAUUGAACGCUGGCGGAAUGCUUUACACAUGCAAGUCGAGCGGCAGCGCGGGGGCAACCCUGGCGGCGAGCGGCGAACGGGUGAGUAACAUAUCGGAACGUACCCUGUCGUGGGGGAUAACACAGCGAAAGCUGUGCUAAUACCGCAUACGACCUGAGGGUGAAAGCGGGGGAUCGCAAGACCUCGCGCGACAGGAGCGGCCGAUAUCGGAUUAGCUAGUUGGUGAGGUAAAGGCUCACCAAGGCGACGAUCCGUAGCGGGUCUGAGAGGACGACCCGCCACACUGGAACUGAGACACGGUCCAGACUCCUACGGGAGGCAGCAGAGGGGAAUUUUGGACAAUGGGGGCAACCCUGAUCCAGCCAUUCCGCGUGAGUGAAGAAGGCCUUCGGGUUGUAAAGCUCUUUCAGCAGGAACGAAACGGUGGUCCCUAAUACGGGCUACUAAUGACGGUACCUGAAGAAGAAGCACCGGCUAACUACGUGCCAGCAGCCGCGGUAAUACGUAGGGUGCGAGCGUUAAUCGGAAUUACUGGGCGUAAAGCGUGCGCAGGCGGUUCCAUAAGACAGAUGUGAAAUCCCCGGGCUUAACCUGGGAACUGCGUUUGUGACUGUGGGACUCGAGUGCGGCAGAGGGGGGUGGAAUUCCACGUGUAGCAGUGAAAUGCGUAGAGAUGUGGAGGAACACCGAUGGCGAAGGCAGCCCCCUGGGUCAACACUGACGCUCAUGCACGAAAGCGUGGGGAGCAAACAGGAUUAGAUACCCUGGUAGUCC
rnacentral:rRNA from 1 species